AGCGAACGCUGGCGGCAGGCCUAACACAUGCAAGUCGAACGAAGUCUUCGGACUUAGUGGCGGACGGGUGAGUAACACGUGGGAACGUGCCUUAGGUUCGGAAUAACUCAGGGAAACUUGUGCUAAUACCGAAUGUGCCCUUCGGGGGAAAGAUUUAUCGCCUUUAGAGCGGCCCGCGUCUGAUUAGCUAGUUGGUGAGGUAAAGGCUCACCAAGGCGACGAUCAGUAGCUGGUCUGAGAGGAUGAUCAGCCACAUUGGGACUGAGACACGGCCCAAACUCCUACGGGAGGCAGCAGUGGGGAAUUUUGCGCAAUGGGCGAAAGCCUGACGCAGCCAUGCCGCGUGAAUGAUGAAGGUCUUAGGAUUGUAAAAUUCUUUCACCGGGGACGAUAAUGACGGUACCCGGAGAAGAAGCCCCGGCUAACUUCGUGCCAGCCGCCGCAGUAA
rnacentral:rRNA from 1 species